CGGCUGUUUAUGUUUCGGCUUGGUGCGUGCCAUCCAAGGUCUUUUAAUAAGGUACACAUCAAUAAGGGGCCUGCUUUUCAUGGAUGGAACUCCAGUGAUGGACAUCAUUGGCUGAGAUAACCAGGCGGAGUGCAGGCGUGAUGUCGGACCAGCCGGACUCCACCAUCACGUCGACGGAGCCUCGGCGCGGCCUGAGCCCGCCGCGGCGCCGCCGGCCCUCCGGCGAGCUGCCUCAGUCCAGCGACCAGCGCGCCG